AUCCUGCUUUCCCACCUGGAUUGUUCCAGAAGUCUGACUUGUACAUUAAACGACGUUGGAAACAAGUUCAGUACCUGGCUGACUUGUUUUGUAAAAGAUGGACUCGAGAGUAUUUACCAUUAUUACAAGAGAGACAGAAAUGGUUUACUGUAAAAAGAGGAUUCCAGAAAGGGGAUGUCGUAAUGGUGGUCGACAGCACAGCUCCUUGUGGAUCCUGGCCUCUUGGAAACGUACUCAAAGUCCAGCCUGACUCUAAAGGACUAACAAGAGCUGUUACACUCAAGACUAAGACUGGAGUCUUGGAAAGACCAGUGACAAAGCUCUGCCUGCUUCUUGAAGGCUCAGACGUCACUGAAUGAAGAUUGACCUGCUUGGCAAGACAUAAAGAUGAGUACCACAUUGUACAUUCACUCUCAUUUCUUGAUUUUUCUUUAAUGUUUAGAAUACAUGUUUAGAACGGCUCCUUAUAUAGUAUUUCUGUUUGUAAUUGUUGCAUAGGCACACAAUUAGGGGCCGGUGUGUAGGAGCCAUUAUGUUGGU